UCUAAAACUCGAGAUAUGGGCUGAACAUUAAACAAUGUUUGGGUUGCAGGACAGAUUCCGACUUCUCCAUUGUUGCUACCAUUUGAACUCAAAAAUGACAUUUUUAAAUCUUGGCCUCCUCAUGAAAGUUUUAGGCCUAUGUCUUAGGUUUUCAUA
rnacentral:pre_miRNA from 1 species